AGUGAACGCUGGCGGUAGGCCUAACACGUGCAAGUCGAACGGCAGCACAGUAAGAGCUUGCUCUUACGGGUGGCGAGUGGCGGACGGGUGAGGAAUACAUCGGAAUCUACUUUUUCGUGGGGGAUAACGUAGGGAAGCUUACGCUAAUACCGCAUACGACCUACGGGUGAAAGCAGGGGAUCUUCGGACCUUGCGCGAUUGAAUGAGCCGAUGUCGGAUUAGCUAGUUGGCGGGGUAAAGGCCCACCAAGGCGACGAUCCGUAGCUGGUCUGAGAGGAUGAUCAGCCACACUGGAACUGAGACACGGUCCAGACUCCUACGGGAGGCAGCAGUGGGGAAUAUUGGACAAUGGGCGCAAGCCUGAUCCAGCCAUACCGCGUGGGUGAAGAAGGCCUUCGGGUUGUAAAGCCCUUUUGUUGGGAAAGAAAAGCAGCAGGUUAAUACCCCGCUGUUCUGACGGUACCCAAAGAAUAAGCACCGGCUAACUUCGUG
rnacentral:rRNA from 1 species